UGGUUAAAUAAAGGUGAAAUAAAAAAAAAUAGGACAGCCAUUCCACUUCCUAUUAAUCCCAUUCAAAUGAAUACAAUUUGCAGUACGUCUUGAGGUGACAGCAGGGUAAGGGUAGAAUAAAUUGAGGUUAGUUGAGAUAUACCUUGUAAAAAGUAAUUUUAUAUAAGUCAAUGGACAUUACAUAACAACCCAUUUGUCAUAUAGGCUGUGUUAGUGAUCAUAUUAUCAUUACUUUUAUUUACUUAUGCAGAACUUUGCGCAUUUUUUAAAUAGAAGGCGGCAGUGAUUGAGAAACAAAACAGUCGGUUGCUUUAGCUCGCUCGGGGCACCAGUUGGACGACGUUUCACAAUUAGAAAAUUACAUUGGUAAUAAAGUCAUAUUCCUCUCACCCGGCGAGCUGAAAUGAAAUCACCAAAUCGACGCGUAUGCGUAGUAACUAGCUAUGUGAACAGUGUCUCGUAAACACUAACGUUAGCCAGUACAUUCUUUGCUACCGGAGCAGCACGUGGAAAUUUGAUUCAGAUUAUAUGAGACCACAUGGUAUAUACAAUUACAAACCAAAAUAAAACACCGUCAGGAAAAAGUUUAUAUAGUAAUGAAAUCACGGAGAAGGCUAUAGGGACAUGUCAAUCAGUAAUGGCAUCUGUAAUGUUUAAAGUACCAAGGUCCACCACAGGUGACAGAAAAAGUGGAAAGGUUCCCCCUGACCAAGGCCAGAGUGCCAUUAGGAGGUAGAAGAAACUCAGGAGAUAACGUCACACCAUUAGGCCAAACGUAGUGGUUGUUUUUUAGACGGAUAUGCAGAGCCAACCAGGCUACAAAACCUGAUAUGACUGAAUACUCCUGGAGAAGACGGUGGAGCAACAUGGGUUGAAGGAUAAACCUCAGAUUUACAACUGUGAUGAGACUGGGUUCCAGAUGGAUGCAUCUAAAAGAAAGGUCCUUGCACCAAAGGGCUCAAAGAAUAAUUGCAUCCAGGCACCUGGUACACGUGACCGUGUGUCAGUACUGACUUGCUUUAAUGCGUCUGGUGAAGAUGUCCCCCCUUUCAUCAUUUUUGGAAACAGAUUCCCAGGAGGACCUUACACCAAGGAAGGUCCAGCUAAUGCUCUCUAUGGCACAUCACCAUCAGGAUACAUUGACAAUGAACUCUUCAGGGGAUGGUUUGUGAAUCAUUUCAUCAGGUAUGCUGUGAAAACACGUCCCCUGCUGCUGGUGUUUGAUGCACACAAAAGUCACCUGGAUCCAGAGGUGAUUGAGGCAGCAAGAAAAUAAAACGUUGUGCUCCUAGUUCUUCCUCCAAACAGCUCUCACAUUCUGCAGCCCCUGGAUUUGACCUACUUCUCUGCUUUGAAGACUGGGUUUUUCAAGGUGGCUGGAGACCUUUGCCACUUCAAAAACGCCGUAGUCAUUUCCAAGAUGGACGUUCCCAUGGUUCUCCAUCAGCCGUACCAGCAAUGCAAAGAGAGGAAGAUUGUAGUCAGCGGGUUCAGAAAAGCUGGGAUCUUCCCCUUUAAUCCCAGUGCCAUAGAUUCGAGUAAAAUAGUUCCCUUGACAUCCAAAAAGCAACAGCCCCAAAAGACUGCAACUCCCUCCAGCCCCACUCCAUCAGCACCACCACCAGCAGUAAUUCUCAGCAAGUACAUGUCCCACCCCCUGGUGGCAGCAGGACUGAAUAAUCCAGAAUUGGCUGAGAUCUUCACAGAGAUAGAUAAUCAAAAGAAGACGACACCAAGGCAAAGUAAGAUGAACGCCCCACUGAAUGCUAGGGUUAUUACUGAGGAAGAGUAUGAGAGGGAGAUGAAACUGGAGUCGGCAAGGAAAAGAGACGGCAAGACACCGUCUCCUCGUAGCACAACCCCCGACGCCGUAGAGAACCCCCAACCAGCUCUUCUACUUCUCCCUCAGAGGGUGAAACUGCAUCUCCCGCAGUCAAACAAACAAGUAAAUCCAGUAGAACUCGGAGCAGGUCACAUCAGACUACUGAGGAGGGGAGAGACCGAGAACUGGAAGCUGAACAACCAAAUAGCAGAGGUCCUCAAACCAAGAGGGCUGGGUUGAGACACAAGAGAUUGGACUAUGUUGAUAACUCCAACGAUGAGGAUGGUUAUGGUAUCAACCAAGCCUCAGCCAAGACUAUUUCUCCCCUGAAGAGAGUGUUGCCAAACACACACACAAGAUCGAGGCAGUACACAGAAAUAUGUGGCAACCAUGUUCAGAUGAGGAGGAUGUUUCUGAGAUCUCUGACCUUACCUCAACAGAUUUUGAGGACAAAGAAUAUGAACAGCAGGCGAGUUUAAAUUAAUUUGGAUGAUAUAGGUUAAAUUAGAGCGAUUUGGGCGAUAUGGACAAAAAUCCAUAUCGUGAUGAAUUGCCUGAACUGAUGCGAUAAUGGUAAAUAGAACGAAAAGUUUAGCAUUAUAAUGUGCACCACAGAUUUUAUUCUCCUUUAAUGUAAUACUACUAGUUUAAUGCUUGCAGCCAUCAAUUGUCCCAUUAACAAUCACCCAUGUUAGCAAACUUAUUUCAUUGCAAACUUCACAUUACUCUAGUGUAGAAUACUCAUUGUAAUAAAUGAUAUCAUCAAAAUGCCUGCGAAAAGUGAUCGGUACGGUCGGUGUCGAUAAUUUUCGGUUUAUCGUCCCAGCUCUAGGCUUAAUGGCUUUUUAUAGCAGGUUGUCAUUAGUCUCUAGAUCGAUUUGAGAUUAUUGUAAUGUCAUGUGAAUGAUGGUUUCUUAGAGCCAGAUAUUAAAUUGGCCCCUGUUGGAUUACAGAUUGAAGCAAUGAGGAAAGCAAAGAUAAGGCGUUUGAUGCAAAGGAAAACAGUGCUGCUUUCAGAAUCAGAUGAUGACAAACCCUUGGUUAAGAUGAUAACAAGGAAGCCAUCAAAUGAGGAGCUGAAAACGACAGUGAAGAAACUGGUGGCCCAUGUCGACCUGGAGAAAGUCACAAUGAAGGACAUUUUCAAGAAGGUUUUUAAAAUGUACCCUCGUUAUGACCUGUCAAACAAGAAGUCCUACAUCAAGGAAACAGUGAAAAGGGUGAUUUCCUUUGUUGGAUUUCCCAUUUCCAUAAAAAUAAAAUGUUGCCAAAAAGAGAGCAUAUUUACAGUAACACGUCUUGAAUAAAUCUGCCCAGCUGGAGUUUAAAAUAUAAGUUGUUGUCGCAGUGAAGUCUGGAGUUCUUCCCUAAUCGCCACCUUCCAUGGUGUGGCAGGUAGCCUAGUGGUUAGCAUUGGGCCAGUAACCAAAAAGGUUGCUGGAUCGAAUCCCCGAGCUGACAAGGUAAAAAAUGUAAUUCUGCCCCUGAGCAAGGCAGUUUAACCCAUUGUUCCCCGGGCGCCAAAGACGUGGAUGAUGAUUAAGGCAGCCCCCCCGCACCUCUCUGAUUCAGAGGGGUUGGGUUAAAUGUGGAAGACACAUUUCAGUUGUACAACUGACUAGGUAAUGUAAUGCUGUAAUGUGUCCACCUCUGGGCUAAGGUGCCAGGUGCAAAUCCCGCCUCGGAACCUCUCACUGCCCUAGUGUAAUGUCACAAUAGUUUUAUAAAAUCUGCGUUCUA